UACGAAGGGGGCUAGCGUUGCUCGGAAUCACUGGGCGUAAAGCGCACGUAGGCGGACUUUUAAGUCAGGGGUGAAAUCCUGGAGCUCAACUCCAGAACUGCCUUUGAUACUGGAAGUCUUGAGUCCGGAAGAGGUAAGUGGAACUGCGAGUGUAGAGGUGAAAUUCGUAGAUAUUCGCAAGAACACCAGUGGCGAAGGCGGUUGCCUGGAGCUUUGCUGACGCUGAGGCGCGAAAGCGUGGGGAGCGAUCCGG
rnacentral:rRNA from 1 species